rnacentral:rRNA from 1 species
GAUUAACGCUAGCGGCAGGCCUAAUACAUGCAAGUUGAACGGUAACAGGUCCAGCAAUGGAUGCUGACGAGUAGCGCACGGGUGCGUAACACGUAUGCAACCUACCUUUGACUGGGGAAUAGCCCCGAGAAAUCGGGAUUAAUGCCCCAUAAUAUUACGAAGAGGCAUCUUUUUGUAAUUAAAGCUCCGGCGGUCUUAGAUGGGCAUGCGCGACAUUAGCUAGUUGGUGAGGUAACGGCUCACCAAGGCUACGAUGUCUAGGGGUUCUGAGAGGAUUCACCCCCACACUGGUACUGAGACACGGGACCAGACUCCUACGGGUGGCUG